GUUCCCAUCGAUUAGUGGUCAGAUCAUCACGUUGUGGCGUCAACAGCAGCUGUUCGAAACCGUGGAGACGGGGGCUCGACUCCCCCUGGGAACA